ensembl:snoRNA U3 Small nucleolar RNA U3
AAGACUAUACUUUCAGGGAUCAUUUCUAUAGUUUAUAACUUGGAAAGUUGUUCUGAAAGUGUUACGUCUCUCUAUCCACGAUGACGAGUCGAGAUAUUUCUUUCUGAGCGUGAAUCUGAUGGAGAGUGAUGAGUAAAAUCAUCUGUUCUUUAUCAUUGAUGAUGAUCAUUGUUGUGCUUUAGAGUAUAUAUGGGAGUUAUGAGCAGCGUGGU